rnacentral:rRNA from 1 species
AUUCCAGCUCCAAGAGCAUAUAUUAAAGUUGUUGCAGUUAAAAAGCUCGUAGUUGGAUUUCUGGUACAAUGCGCCUGGCCCGCCACAGUUUAUGUGUGUGAGUGCCGGUGCGCGUUUGCCAUCUUUCUAGAAAACGUUUCUACCCUUUACUGGGCCGGAUUCGCGAUCUAGAUCGUUUACUUUGAAAAAAUUAGAGUGUUUAAAGCAGGCUUAUGCUAUGAAUACAUUAGCAUGGAAUAAUAAUCUAGGACUUCGGUUCUAUUUUGUUGGUUCUUAGUACUGAAGUAAUGAUUGAUAGGGAUAGUCGGGGGUGCUAGUAUUGGCCGGCCAGAGGUGAAAUUCUUGGAUUCGGUCAAGACUAACUUAUGCGAAAGCAUUCACCAAGGAUGUCUUCAUUA